rnacentral:rRNA from 1 species
GACGUAGGGAGCAAGCGUUGUCCGGAUUUACUGGGCGUAAAGAGCGCGUAGGCGGUCUGUUAAGUGUAGAGUGAAAUCUCCAGGGCUCAACCCGGAAACUGCUCUGCAUACUGGCAGACUUGAGGGACUGAGAGGUGAAUGGAAUUCCUGGUGUAGCGGUGGAAUGCGCAGAUAUCAGGAGGAACACCGGUGGCGAAGGCGGGUCUCUGGGCCGUUACUGACGCUGAGGAGCGAAAGCGUGGGGAGCGAACAGG